rnacentral:rRNA from 1 species
ACUCCUACGGGAGGCAGCAAUAGGGAAUCUUCCACAAUGGACGAAAGUCUGAUGGAGCAACGCCGCGUGAACGAUGAAGGCCUCGGUCGUAAGUUACUGUUGUAAGGGAAGAACAAGUGCCGCAGGCAAUGGCGGCACCUUGACGGUACCUUGCGAGAAAGCCACGGCUAACUACGUGCCAGCAGCCGCGGUAAUACGUAGGUGGCAAGCGUUGUCCGGAAUUAUUGGGCGUAAAGCGCGCGCAGGCGGCCUCUUAAGUCUGAUGUGAAAGCCCCGGCUCAACCGGGGGAGGGCCAUUGGAAACUGGGAGGCUUGAGUAUAGGAGAGAAGAGUGGAAUUCCACGUGUAGCGGUGAAAUGCGUAGAGAUGUGGAGGAACACCAGUGGCGAAGGCGACUCUUUGG